CAGCCGCCGCGGGAAUACGUAGGGUGCAAGCGUUAAUCGGGAUUACUGGGCGUAAAGCGUGCGCAGGCGGUUUUGUAAGACAGAGGUGAAAUCCCCGGGCUCAACCUGGGAACUGCCUUUGUGACUGCAAGGCUAGAGUACGGCAGAGGGGGAUGGAAUUCCGCGUGUAGCAGUGAAAUGCGUAGAUAUGCGGAGGAACACCGAUGGCGAAGGCAAUCCCCUUGGCCUGUACUGACGCUCAUGCACGAAAGCGUGGGGAGCAAACAGGAUUAGAUACCCCAGUAGUCCCUGUCUCUUAUAC
rnacentral:rRNA from 1 species